UACGUAGGGGGCGAGCGUUGUCCGGAUUUAUUGGGCGUAAAGAGCUCGUAGGCGGUUUGGCAAGUCGGGUGUGAAAACUCCGGGCUCAACUCGGAGACGCCACUCGAUACUGCUAUGACUCGAGUCCGGUAGGGGAGUGCGGAAUUCCUGGUGUAGCGGUGAAAUGCGCAGAUAUCAGGAGGAACACCGGUGGCGAAGGCGGCACUCUGGGCCGGUACUGACGCUGAGACGCGAAAGCGUGGGGAGCGAACAGG
rnacentral:rRNA from 1 species